rnacentral:rRNA from 1 species
GACGAACGCUGGCGGCGUGCUUAACACAUGCAAGUCGAACGCUGAAGCACCAGCUUGCUGGUGUGGAUGAGUGGCGAACGGGUGAGUAAUACGUGAGUAACCUGCCCUUGACUCUGGGAUAAGCCCGGGAAACUGGGUCUAAUACUGGAUGCUACAUGUCACCGCAUGGUGGUGUGUGGAAAGGGUUUACUGGUCUUGGAUGGGCUCACGGCCUAUCAGCUUGUUGGUGAGGUAAUGGCUCACCAAGGCGACGACGGGUAGCCGGCCUGAGAGGGUGACCGGCCACACUGGUACUGAGACACGGCCCAGACUCCUACGGGAGGCAGCAGUGGGGAAUAUUGCACAAUGGGCGAAAGCCUGAUGCAGCGACGCCGCGUGAGGGAUGACGGCCUUCGGGUUGUAAACCUCUUUCAGCAGGGAAGAAGCCACAAGUGACGGUACCUGCAGAAGAAGCGCCGGCUAACUACGUG